rnacentral:lncRNA from 1 species
CGGGGGACUGGCGGCUACGAGGAAGUUGGCGCGCCGGAAAGGCGGAUCGGGGAAGACAGGCUAGUACAUUGGACAGGAGCUCCUUCCCUGAUCAUGGCGUCGUGCUCCGCAUAGUUGAAAACUCGAAAUGCACCGGGUAUAUAUUACACCACCGCGACGAAGGAGAAGCCGCAAAAUGGUUGAUUCGAAUUUAUCUUGCCGCAUUUAACAAUUUACUAAUUAUUAUAUAUCCG